UUGGGGGAAUGUAGUGGCUGUUUGUUACUAACUUUUUUUUGCCCGCAAGAAUUUACCCCUUAGACAGUGGUCUUAGAUGUCUUCAUACCCAAAUUUAAGCCCGUGUGUGAAUGUAGUCCGCAUGUAAUUACCAUGCAAAUAAAUCUAAUUGCAUUACGCUGAUGAAACUGUAUGUUGGGGAAUUUUCACUGAUUAAAAAGCAGCUGUUUCUCCACGCGAGGCGGUGCGCAGCGGCAUGCAGGAAACCAAUGACAGCCGGGAAUUGUGGCGCAAGAAAAGGACCUGUGCCAACUACUCGGGUGUGUGGAGUUAGUAUGUGCUUUGCAAGGUUAAAGACUCGUAUCAAAGAUGAUGCUGACGUAUGUACGGUUUUGAGUAAAGCAACAACUUGUUGCAUGGUAAAGUGUAAUAACGAAAUACAAUUAAUAAAGUAAUCUAGUCGUUCAAUCUGAAAUAACCAAACCAACAAACAGAAAAUAAUAAUAUUGUACAACCGGAAGAAAUAAGGCAACCAGUAUCGGAAAUUGAACAUUUGAUAUCGAUGAACUGGCAGUAUCUAAAAUUAAACAUAUGAAAUGAAAUAGAUUUUAUUGUAUGGAUUGUACAAAUUUUGGGAAGGUUCUCAUAUGAACGCUUGCAGAGACAAAAAACUGCCAAUGGCAGAUCAAUCAAAGGUAAUACAUUUGCACUCCUAUUUACCAAAUUCUGAGUGGGGUACAGUUAAUACAAACUUUAUUGCUAGACCUGAGGAUUUUAUGCUUUGGUAGGAUGGCAUUAUGGCACGUCUCUUAAAGGACCACACUACCUUCUGAUGUGUUUCAGUGCUACAUUUGCUCUGUAGUACAUGAACCCAGUGACCGGACGUUUAUUUAACCUAAAAUGUACUUUGGAUAAUAGCGCUCCUCAGUUUCACAGAUACUGAAGUGACCCUAUGAGGAAGUUCUUUGUUGCUUGAAAGGGGCAGAUCUCUGCAAAUUAAAACAAUUUAAUGCAUUUCACGUAUUCAAUGUGGUCUUCUUUAGUAUGAUUCACACAUAUUCCACAUGACACGCUUAAUAAACAUGGGUUUAGGACAAUGAAUCCUUUACUGUUUAAACUAAAAAAAAUCCCAGUGUGCCCUACUGUUUGGAGCGCAUUACAAUGGAAUUGUUCAGAAAGUGGAAAAUAUUGCUUAACAUUUCUUACAUUAGUUACAGAUCAUUUUACAUGUCAAUUACAUUUACGCUUUGUGAUAUAUAAACAGUGAAUCAGUCAGUGAAGGAAAGCAUUUCCUAAGAGAUAAUACUGAAAAUAAAAAUAAUAUCCUUAAACAACCGUUCACCACACCAGCUUUGGAUUUGGAAACGAAAUAAAAGAACUUUUGCUGCACUCUACCGGUGUGUAACCCUUGGCUGAGUGGAGGCGUGUUAAAUAAAGUGUCAUUUCGGGCUGUUUUGUGGCGACUCGCAGGCCAUUGUUGGCGGGUUAGGGAGAGCCGUGCUGGGGCACGCGGGGCACUUGUUUGCUGAAGGCCCACCGGCCUCAGAGGCCAGCUGUGUACAUGGCUCUUCACCUUUAGCCUGUUUGCUUUGGGAUUGGAAGGUAAUGAUGCAAACCUAACCCCUGGAUCCUGGCCAUGCUUCUGCUAAGUCCCUCUCUUCAGAAACCCAAGCCCCUACCUCUUGGAGUUUUAGGAGAAUUUCUUUUUUUUAUUUUUUUUAUUUUAAAUGCAGGAAUGCAUCUGACUGGUGUCUUGAGGUAAUACUGUGGCUUCUGCCUGGCAUGUUAUUUAUUCAGCUUCAUACAAGGUAAUAUUAAGUUAUUCAAUUUAAAGGACUUUAUUCACAAUCUUUAACUGAAACUUACAGGGUGUGACCAGAUCUAUAAAUGUAUGCUUUAUACAUUAAAAUUGUCUUCAAUAAUUUCACAAGUUGGUUUUGUUCAACAGAAUAAGGGUUGUGCUGUGAAAUGUCUGCUGACUGGCUAAAAUUCAGUUAUGAAGGAAUGUUCCACAGAAUUGCAUGCUGUUUGACGUCAAAAAUGAUAAACAAGAAACACUCUUACCAUUCCAGGAAAACUGCUCUGUAAAUUAAAUCACCUUUUAAAAGCCCUCUGAGUUGCUUCUGCAUAAAAUGUCUGCCAAAUAAGUAGAAAAUAAACUCAUUUCAAAAUCUAUAUAUUAAUAAUGACAUGUUCUAAAAUAGUUUAAUGUUAGAUUAGAAUUAGUAUUAGUUUAGUUAAUACUUUAAUUGAACCCAGCUUCAUUUUCUUCUUUAUCAGUGGUCACUGUCUAGUUUUAUGUAGUUUUCCACUUGAAAAUAAUUCUUGGGUGACUAACUUUUAGAGCAGAGAAAUGAAUAGUUUAGAACUUGUGGCUUUAGAUUACAUCAGCACGACAUCUUACAAAUGAGAAAACAGGCGUACACAUUUACUCUCUCUCUCUCUCUCGCUCUCUCACACACACACACAC